rnacentral:lncRNA from 12 species
GACCAAGAUGGAUUUUCAGCCUGGAUGCAUUGGCGGAGAUUCUGCUCAGUGGCAGGGGCCCAGACCAAGUGCUCUCCCAAAAGCCCUUCCAGACUUGCAUUCAGCAACCCCAUGAGGAUCACCAAAAGUCCCCACCAGGGACCCAGAUUCAGCUGCAGAGUCACAGACCUAUGGCUGCACCGGCCAAAUUCAUGGAUCUUUCCUGUCUGUGUUGUCUCUGACUCACCUGGCACAGAUCACUCAUAGCUGUGAGGCUGGGUACACCACGCACCUGGUACCCAUCAUGAUGGGUAAUGAUGCUAGCCUGGAUCCCAGGCCGUCAGCAUUCUGGCUCACAGGCCCGAUGACAGGACAGUGGCACACACCACACGUUUCUCCUUCCUUUCUCCCAAGAUCCUCAGGCAAGAUUCCAGCCUUGGAAAUAUGACCUUCCCUUGUACAGGAUCUUGAAGUUAGGGGAUUACAGGUGGAAACUGAACCCACACUUCCAUCUGGGAGAGGCCUUUCGUUCUAAAACUACAUCAGAACUCAAGUGAGGAGCUUCUAUUCACCAAACUGGAUGUUCACCUCCUAGAGAUCAGCUCCUGGGGCGGUGGACACUUAAAUCAGCAAGCAGAUGCAUGGAAAGAAAAGAGACCCAAGCAAUUGCUCAAAUAUCUCAUUGUGGAUACAGAUGGGCAGUUCUUCAGGGACCUCAAAUAGCCAAAGGAAAAGCCCAGUACAUUCUCCAAUACUUUGCCCCGUCUCGCCCCCACCUGCUGGUGCAGCACCAUUUGCCACGGCCUGUGAGGUCAUCUCUGCAAGGCGUGCUGUUUCCUCCAGCUCCUUGGCUCUCUGGCUGCGACUCAGUGUUUAUGAUCGCACCAACGUGUGAGGAACGCGGUGUCGAAGAACAAGGCCCAGGCUGGCACCAAGGAUCUAAAUCUGUUUCCCAAGUCUGAUCCUUGGUCUCCAAGUCCACAGAGAUAUCCACUCCUGAACCCCAUCAAAUGCUGUGCCAGAUCUCUGGAGGUAGGCAUGCAGUUUAGAUCUCCAUAAACCCCAUAUUCUGACAUUGCUUUGUAUCACUCUUCAAUCAUGCUAUGAGUUUCUGAAAGGUAGAAAUAUAUCUUUGUAUUUACCAAGUACAAUCUCUGACACUUGAGGAUAUUGAGUAAAUGUUAGACAUGCCCAGAAAAGGCAGAAGCAUAAAAUCUCAGGGCUCUACCCAGAUUCUUGUGGUUUAUGAUCGUAGCUGAUCCCGCUCCUAGGACACAAGAGUCACUCCAGUAUGAUGUCUCCAAACACUGCCAUGUUUUUGAGGAAAAGAUGAGGAAGAGGAAAGAUGAGGAAGAUGAGGAAAAGCCACUUAGCUUUGAAGCUUUUGUUUAUGACAUGAAGAGAACAGGUAUCAGCCAAACAAGGCAUGAGUAUAGAAAAUGACACUGUAGUCUCCUACACUUAGAUAGAAGGAGGAUAUGAGGGGACAGGCAGCCUGGAACACUUGUACAGCUCCAGGUAUAUUGCUCCACUGUGUCCCUGAACUUCAGAGAACUCGAACGACCAACAUGGCAUAGGCAUUCACUUAGUUUCUGAAGAAUGGAAGCAAUAGUGACAAUGAGUAGGCGCUCAGAACCCAGGUUUGGAAGGAAACUUGGAGAUCAUCAAAUCUAUUGGUUUCACUUUUCUCUUGAGGACUUGGAGGCCCACAGAUGAACAAUAACAUACUCAGGGUCACAAAAUAGUUGGUAGCUAACCACAGGGAAGCUCUUGCUUUGAGAGAUGCUUAUGGGUUGCAAGGCCUCUCCUUUAGGGAAAGACCCAUAAAAGGUCUACAUCUUCUACAUAAGAACCUAAUGUGUCAUAUAAUCAUAGAAUAUCAUUUUGCAAAGUAUGAACAUGUAACUUACAAAAAAUGUAACUUGCAGAAAGACCUCCCUGAGACUAAUCACACAAACACAUGCAUACACACUAUCUCUCUCUUCUAAAUCUCCUUCUGAGAAACUUGAAUAUAGCUCUGAUGCCCCUCUAUCUUGGCUGUGUUAGAAACAUCCCAGAGAUAGUGGACAGGGUAGUGUGUCUGGGAUUAGUAAAGUUCAUUCUCAUUCUCUCUCUCUCUCUCUCUCUCUCUCUCUUCAUUUGUGUAGUUAUUCUACAUUCAGGUAUUUAGGGAUCAUAUAUCUAUGCCUACUGCUAUAAAAAUUGCUGGGAUUCAUAAUAGAACUUCCCUAAUCCAAUAUAGCUAUGCUCUCUAUCUUUGGGGAAUUUCAUGGUUUAACAGUCAACAGUAGACCUAGCAUUCAGGAGACCGUACAAAGCAGAGUAUGAUUAAGUGCUAAAAUAGGUAGUUGGUCCCAGAGGUGCUCAGAGGUAGGUGAACUUCCUGGUGACUGACACAAGCAGGGAAGGAGGCAUAGAAGGGGCAAAGUAGGCAGCCAAGAAAGGUCUGGUUUCAUAGAAGCAGAGGAAGAAAUUAAUUCUUUUUUUUUUUCAAGAUUUUAUUUAUGGGGCACCUGGGUGGUCAGUGGUUGAGCAUCUUCCUUUGGCUCAGGUCAUGAUCCUGGGGUCCUAGGAUUGAGUCCCACAUCAGGCUCCCUGCAUGGAGCCUGCUUCUCCCUCUGCCUACAUCUCUGCCUCUCUCUCUCUUUGUGUCUCUCAUGAAUAAAUAAAUAACACCUUUUAAAAAAUAAUAAAGA